CGUGCAGGUGGUUCGGUAAGUUAGGCGUGAAAUCUCCCGGCUCAACUGGGAGAGGUCGUCUAAUACUACCGAACUUGAGAGCAGAAGAGGAAGAUGGAAUUCCCGGUGUAGUGGUGAAAUGCGUAGAUAUCGGGAGGAACACCAGUGGCGAAGGCGAUCUUCUGGUCUGUUUCUGACACUCAGACGCGACAGCUAAGGGUAGUAAACG
rnacentral:rRNA from 1 species